GACGAACGCUGGCGGCGUGCCUAAUACAUGCAAGUUGAGCGCUGAAGGUUGGUACUUGUACCAAUUGGAUGAGCAGCGAACGGGUGAGUAACGCGUGGGGAAUCUGCCUUUUAGCGGGGGACAACAUCUGGAAACGAAUGCUAAUACCGCAUAAAAACUUUAAACACAAGUUUUAAGUUUUAAAGAUGCAAUUGCAUCACUCAAAGAUGAUCCGGCGUUGUAUUAGCUAGUUGGUGAGGUAAAGGCCCACCAAGGCGAUGAUACAUAGCCGGCCUGAGAGGAUGAUGAGCAAAAUGGGAACGGAGACACGGCCCAAAUUCCUACGGGAGGCAGAAGUGGGAAAUUUUGGACAAUGGGCGAAAUCCUGACCAAGCAAGACCGCGGGGGGAAAGAAGUUUUUCGGUUGGAAAACCCUUUUUGUUGGGAAAGAAGAUGGGGAGGGUAAAAAGCUCAUCAAGUGACGGUAACUAAACAGAAAGGAACGGCUAACUACGUG
rnacentral:rRNA from 1 species